UCUCCGUAGGUGAACCUGCGGAAGGAUCAUUAAUGAGUUGUCAUGGGGUUCGAUGCUGGCAGCCAGUUUUUGGAUGCAUGUGCUUGCCCUAACAAUCAUCUUCUUCCAAACACCUGUGCACAUUUUUGAGGGAGUCUUGAGUUGGUUGCCGCUCUUGGGUGAUUUUCUCACAUUCCCUUAAAUCAUUAUACGCUAUUAACAAUGUUGAACGUGCUCUGUGCCGCAAGGCCAUUAAUAUAAUACAACUUUUAACAACGGAUCUCUUGGCUCUUGCAUCGAUGAAGAACGAGC
rnacentral:misc_RNA from 1 species